GACGAACGCUGGCGGCGUGCUUAACACAUGCAAGUCGAGCGGAGCGGCGAACGGGUGAGUAACGCGUGAGUAACUGCCCCCCUCCCUGGGAUAACAGUUGGAAACGGCUGCUAAUACCGGAUAGUGGGGGAUGACUCGGGUCCUAUCGGCUUGUUGGUGGAGUAGUGGCCGACCAAGGCGACGACGGGUAGCCGGCCUGGGAGGGCGACAGGCCACAAUGGGCUGAGAUAGGGCCCAAAGUCCUACGGGGGGCAGCAGUGGGGAAUAUGGCACAAUGGGGGAAACCCUGAUGCAGCAACCCGGGGGCGGGAUGACGGCUUUCGGGUUGUAAACCGCUUUCAGCCAUGACGCGGUAGUGGCAGAAGAAGCACCGGCUAACUACGUGCCAGCAGCCGCGGUAAUAC
rnacentral:rRNA from 1 species